GACGAACGCUGGCGGCGUGCUUAACACAUGCAAGUCGAACGGAAAGGCCCUGCUUUUGUGGGGUGCUCGAGUGGCGAACGGGUGAGUAACACGUGAGUAACCUGCCCUUGACUUUGGGAUAACUUCAGGAAACUGGGGCUAAUACCGGAUAGGAGCUCCUGCUGCAUGGUGGGGGUUGGAAAGUUUCGGUGGUUGGGGAUGGACUCGCGGCGUAUCAGCUUGUUGGUGGGGUAGUGGCUUACCAAGGCUUUGACGGGUAGCCGGCCUGAGAGGGUGACCGGCCACAUUGGGACUGAGAUACGGCCCAGACUCAUACGGGAGGCAGCAGUGGGGAAUAUUGCACAAAGGGCGGAAGCCUGCUGCAGCAACGCCGCGUGCGGGAUGACGGCCUUCGGGUUGUAAACCGCUUUCGCCUGUGACGAAGCGUGAGUGACGGUAAUGGGUAAAGAAGCACCGGCUAACUACGU
rnacentral:rRNA from 1 species